rnacentral:rRNA from 1 species
GAACGCGUGUAGCAAUACACGAGUGGCGCACGGGUGAGUAACGCGUGGAUAUCUACCUUCUGGUUCGGAAUAACCCCGGGAAACUGGGGCUAAUACCGAAUGGUUCCUACGGGAUAAAGAUUUAUCGCCGGAAGAUGAGUCCGCGUCCGAUUAGCUAGUUGGUGAGGUAAGGGCUUACCAAGGCGACGAUCGGUAGCUGGUCUGAGAGGACGAUCAGCCACACUGGGACUGAGACACGGCCCAGACUCCUACGGGAGGCAGCAGUGGGGAAUAUUGGACAAUGGGCGAAAGCCUGAUCCAGCCAUGCCGCGUGAGUGAUGAAGGCCUUAGGGUUGUAAAGCUCUUUCGGCGGGGACGAUAAUGACGGUACCCGCAGAAGAAGCCCCGGCUAACUUCGUG